rnacentral:rRNA from 1 species
AGUGAACGCUGGCGGUAGGCCUAACACAUGCAAGUCGAACGGCAGCACAGGAGAGCUUGCUCUCUGGGUGGCGAGUGGCGGACGGGUGAGGAAUACAUCGGAAUCUACUCUGUCGUGGGGGAUAACGUAGGGAAACUUACGCUAAUACCGCAUACGACCUACGGGUGAAAGCAGGGGACCUUCGGGCCUUGCGCGAUUGAAUGAGCCGAUGUCGGAUUAGCUAGUUGGCGGGGUAAAGGCCCACCAAGGCGACGAUCCGUAGCUGGUCUGAGAGGAGGAGCAGCCAAACUGGAACUGAAACACGGGCCAGACUCCUACGGGCGGCAGCAGUGGGGAAUAUUGGACAAUGGGCGCAAGCCUGUUCCAGCCAUACCGCGUGGGUGAAGAAGGCCUUCGGGUUGUAAAGCCCUUUUGUUGGGAAAGAAAUCCAGCUGGCUAAUACCCGGUUGGGGUGACGGUACCCAAAGAAUAAGCACCGGCUAACUUCGUGCCAGCCGCCGCGGUAA